ACGCUGGAGCGGUGCUUUCAUCACAGUGUGGGCUGAUUAAAGAUCUGUGACUCUUGUGAAGUUUUGGACAAGGAGAACUACAACACAGUGAUCUGAGCGAUAACAGCAAAGCUCCAGCCUCUCACCAAGAUGUGGUUGCUUCUGGUUCCAAAAAAAACAAGAUGGCGAUGUCCGAAAUGCUGAACACCAGGCUUCAAAAUGGGAGGCACUGCAGUAGUAAUAGAGUGCUACGCAGGCCGCAAGUGACCCACAAGUGCUUUAAAUGAAUACGGUCUGCUAAUAGCAGCGAGAAGACACCCUGGGGGCACCCAUGAAAUAUGUGCAAGGACCCAUGACCACUGAGAUAAUAGCCCCUACCCCAGACCAUGGAUUCACUCUGUCCACUCUCUCCUCCACUCCACUCCCAGCCAGGUUUGGAGUGGCUCAUGUCUUGGACAGAUGGUAAGAUGAGGCCCCUGUAUCUCGUGGCAGAUGAGGGGAAGGACAAUGCCUCAUGGGUGAUAUAGGGAUGAACAAAA